UGGGGAAUUUUGCACAAUGGGGGAAACCCUGAUGCAGCGACGCCGCGUGAUUUAGAAGGCCUUCGGGUUGUAAAAAUCUUUUCUAUGGGAAGAAAAUGACAGUACCAUAGGAAUAAGGACCGGCUAAUUACGUGCCAGCAGCCGCGGUAAUACGUAAGGUCCGAGCGAUGUCCGGAAUCAUUGGGCGUAAAGGGUACGUAGGCGGGUAAGCAAGUUAGAAGUGAAAUCCUAUAGCUCAACUAUAGUAAGCUUUUAAAACUGCUCAUCUUGAGGUAUGGAAGGGAAAGUGGAAUUCCUAGUGUAGCGGUGAAAUGCGCAGAUAUUAGGAGGAAUACCGGUGGCGAAGGCGACUUUCUGGCCAUAACCUGACGCUGAGGUACGAAAGCGUGGGUAGCAAACAGG
rnacentral:rRNA from 1 species